rnacentral:rRNA from 1 species
AUUGAACGCUGGCGGCAGGCCUAACACAUGCAAGUCGAACGAGUGGCGGACGGGUGAGUAAUGUCUGGGAACCUGCCCGAUGGAUGGGGAUAACUACUGGAAACGGUAGCUAAUACAGCCUACCAUCGGAUGUGCCCAGAUGGGAUUCGCUUGUAGGGGAGGUAAAGGCUCACCUAGGCGACGAUCACUAGCUGUUCUGCGAGGAUGACCACCCACACUGGAACUGAGCCACGGUCCAGACUCCUACGGGAGGCAGCAGUGGGGAAUAUUGCACAAUGGGCGCAAGCCUGAUGCAGCCAUGCCGCGUGUAUGAAGAAGGCCUUCGGGUUGUAAAGUACUUUCAGCGGGGAGGCGUUACCCGCAGAAGAAGCACCGGCUAACUCCGUGCCAGCAGCCGCGGUAAUAC